CAGUGGGAAAGCCAGCCAGCAGGGCAGGGGCCCACCCACGGCUGCCCACCCGGCAGCGCCAGGGGGCCGCCAGCGCUCCGGGAGCCCGGGGCUGGGGUGCGCGGACACAGCCCCCAGAAGCCGCCUCCAGGGGCAAGGCCGCGACGCCAGGUGCGCGCCGCUGCUCAUUAGGCCGCCGUGCGCGCCCGGCUCUUGGUGUCUUUCUGAGAAUCCCCCGAAGAAGAAAGCAAUCAAAGCCCGGGGAUUGGAAAACAAGGAUGAGGAGAUAGAAAACAAGAUUUCUAUCUGAAUAAUUUCCUCUAAUUGCUGAUCCUGGCACACAGCUUCGCUUGACCAACCAGGCCUGCAGGGGCAGCAGCGGCAGCCACUGGAAGCCAAAUUCUGUGCAGAGCACGUGCCUCACCCAAAGGUUCCUCAUCUUGCCUGGAUCUGCAGUGCCACCUCGGGAAGCGGAGACGCUACAGUCGCCAUGCCACGAUGCAGAAGGAAGUGGAGACCGAGGCCUCCUCACAUCCUGUGUAUUAUGAGCUGGGCCCGCCAGGGUGGCUGGAGCACGGGAAGAGGAGGCAGCAAGCUGAGAAGGUGGAUGCUGGUUCGCUCCUCUUGCAUCCUGAGGAACUGGAGGGACGUCGUCAAGGUCCCUGAACAGCUGGAGGGUGCUGUUCGAGAAUGAACCUCUAUUUAAAAUGGAGCGGAGACUGCGCUGUUGGCCCAGCGAGAGCCCAGCUUGGGUCCCAAGCACCCCUUCCCCUCCUGGGGUGGCAGCUUCUGCCACUGAUGGGCAGCAAAGCCCACACUUCCUGCUCUCUGGGGCUUCCGGCCUUAGGCCCCUGGAGUCCUCUUCCUUAUUAGGGGUCUGUGUCCAGCUGGGUGGGGAUGAGACCUGGGCCUGCGCUCAUCCUUCGGGAAGGAGGAGAAGGAGCCCUGCUUUGGGGGCGGUCCCAGGGAGCCUGAGCGCGGAGGGGGAGACGGUGAGGAUGCUUGACGACCACUUUGAAUGCUGGCUGAUCGCAAAGCCGCCUGCUGCAGGGCAGAGCAGGCGAGAGACCAUGUGAGCCGGGGCAGGAAGAUGCAGAAGCUAUGAGGCCAGGGACAGAACCCGGGUGGCAGUGAGAGGAGGGAGGGACAUGCGACAGCUGUGGGAAUCAGCAGCCUCCUCCUGCCGUUGUCCCCUGGGGCCUGGCCCCCAGCCCUGGGGUCCCCUGAGAUCCCUGGAGCCUUGCAGUUAGCCCCCAUUACUCGAGGCACUUGGAGUGGGUUUCUCUUGCUUGCAAUCGGAGCAGCCUGUGUCCUAGGCAGUGUGAGGCCUGGCAGUGGUGCUGUGGCCCUCCACGCGGCAUGUCUGUCGGCAGCGCUGUUGACCCUGGGUCUCCAGCCUUAACCCCCUCCCCCUCCCCCCUUCUUCCUGAGGAUCCAGGUGCCAAGGCCUGCUGGAGCUCCGGCCCAAGUGUCUUUCCUCUCUCGCCCUCCAUCCCCUCCUCAGCUGACGACAGAACAGUCCGAGGGCUGGGGGGUGAAGAGCCAGCACACUGCUGACAUCCGACAGGAGUGUCCUGCAGUGUGGACCCAACACCUGAGAAUCCCAGCAGCCAAGAACACGGCCUCCCCGAGUCCCACGGACCUGAUCUGAGACCCAGAUUCACCAUCAGCUGGCUGUGUGACCUCGGGUGAGCCACUCAGCCUCUCUGGGGCUUAGCUGACUCUCCACAAAGUGGGGAAGGCGUCUGUGAAGUUGAAGGGAGGUGAUGCAUGCCACGUGCUUCACACGCUGCCUGGCCUCAUCCUUAAAGACCAGCUCACAUCCACUUCCCCCGGCAGACCCACACCCCUGGCCCUUGGGGACCGGGGCCUCCUUUGGGGUCCACAAUACCUGCACCUGGGCCCUGUCCACACACACGGCAGACUUGGCCUGUCUCCCUGCGGCCGUGGAGCUCCCGUCGGAAGCUGGCUCCCCCUGUGCCCCUCCACUCCCAGCAGCUCCGAGUGGGCCCGGGAGCACCUGGACGUCGAUCCUGCGCCCAUCCUGGGGGCUCACUCCAGACUCUGCCAGCCCCCACGCAGGCCUGCCCCGGACAGCGCAGGGUCCAGGGCCAGGGUACGUGGAGGCGUCCCAUAUAUCUGAAUAUUUCAGUUAGAUGUUGAGUUAACCGACAGUUAAAUAAAAUGUUCA